AGCAGCCGCGGUAAUUCCAGCUCCAAUAGCGUAUAUUAAAGUUGUUGCAGUUAAAAAGCUCGUAGUUGAACUUCAGGCCUGGCUGGACGGUCUGCCCUCUGGGUGAGCACUGUCUGUGGUCGGGUCCUACCUUCUGGCGAAGCGGCAUGGCCUUAACCGGCCGUGGCGGGGAACCAGGACUUUUACUGUGAAAAAAUUAGAGUGUUCAAAGCAGGCACGCGCUUGAAUACAUUAGCAUGGAAUAAUGGAAUAGGACAAUGGUUCUAUUUGUUGGUUUCUAGGACCGUUGUAAUGAUUAAUAGGGAUAGUUGGGGGCAUUAGUAUUCAAUUGUCAGAGGUGAAAUUCUUGGGUUUAUUGAAGACUAACUACUGCGAAAGCAUUUGCCAAGGAUGUUUUCAUUAAUCAAGAACGAAAGUUAGGGGAUCGAAGACGAUCAGAUACCGUCGUAGUCUUAACCAUAAACUAUGCCGACUAGGAAUCGGGCGAUGUUGACAAAAUGACGCGCUCGGCACCUC
rnacentral:rRNA from 1 species